GACGAACGCUGGCGGCGUGCUUAACACAUGCAAGUCGAACGGGCCUGUCUUCUUUUUUGGGGGUGGGUUGAGUGGCGAACGGGUGAGUAUCACGUGAGUAACCUGCCCUUCGGUCCUGGAUAACCGCUUGAAAGGGCGGCUAAUACGGGGUGGUCCGGUUGGUCCGCAUGGGCUGGUCGGGAUAGAUUCACUGUUUUUGGUGUUUCGGCGGGGGAUGGGCUCGCGGCCUAUCAGCUUGUUGGUGGAGUGAUGGCCUACCAAGGCGGUGACGGGUAGCCGGCCUGAGAGGGUGGGCGGCCACACUGGGACUGAGAUACGGCCCAGACUCCUGCGGGAGGCAGCAGUGGGGGGUAUUGCACAAUGGGCGGAAGCCUGAUGCAGCGACGUCGCGUGAGGGAUGGAGGCCUUCGGGUUGUGAACCUCUGUUUCCGGUGGUGAAGGCCCUGUCCGUGUGGUGGGGUUGACGGUAGCCGGGGAUGAAGCGCCGGCUAACUACGUG
rnacentral:rRNA from 1 species